rnacentral:rRNA from 1 species
GACGAACGCUGGCGGCGUGCUUAACACAUGCAAGUCGAACGGAAAGGCCCUGCUUUUGUGGGGUGCUCGAGUGGCGAACGGGUGAGUAACACGUGAGUAACCUGCCCUUGACUUUGGGAUAACUUCAGGAAACUGGGGCUGAUACCGGAUAGGAGCUCCUGCUGCAUGGUGGGGGUUGGAAAGUUUCGGCGGUUGGGGAUGGACUCGCGGCUUAUCAGCUUGUUGGUGGGGUAGUGGCUUACCAAGGCUUUGACGGGUAGCCGGCCUGAGAGGGUGACCGGCCACAUUGGGACUGAGAUACGGCCCAGACUCCUACGGGAGGCAGCAGUGGGGAAUAUCGCACAAUGGGCGGAAGCCUGAUGCAGCAACGCCGCGUGCGGGAUGACGGCCUUCGGGUUGUAAACCGCUUUCGCCUGUGACGAAGCGUGAGUGACGGUAAUGGGUAAAGAAGCACCGGCUAACUACGUG